rnacentral:rRNA from 1 species
CCUACGGGGGGCUGCAGUGGGGAAUAUUGGACAAUGGGGGGAACCCUGAUCCAGCCAUGCCGCGUGUGUGAAGAAGGCCCUCGGGUUGGAAAGCACUUUCAGUGAGGAAGAACGCCUGGUGGUUAAUACCCAUCAGGAAAGACAUCACUCACAGAAGAAGCACCGGCUAACUCCGUGCCAGCAGCCGCGGUAAUACGGAGGGUGCGAGCGUUAAUCGGAAUUACUGGGCGUAAAGCGCGCGUAGGUGGCUUGAUAAGCCGGUUGUGAAAGCCCCGGGCUCAACCUGGGAACGGCAUCCGGAACUGUCAAGCUAGAGUGCAGGAGAGGAAGGUAGAAUUCCCGGUGUAGCGGUGAAAUGCGUAGAGAUCGGGAGGAAUACCAGUGGCGAAGGCGGCCUUCUGGACUGACACUGACACUGAGGUGCGAAAGCGUGGGUAGCAAACAGGAUUAGAUACCCUGGUAGUC